GUGUGAGGGCUGCUUCCGUACAUGGCCUCUUCAUUUAAGGAAUUGAGCACAGCCCGCCCAAGAGAAUCGAGUGCUAGGUUUAAACGAUAUAUAUUUUUUUUAAUUAGACGUGCGUGUCACAUGUCCCCUGGUGCCAACAGCAGUCAAUCUAGGUUUUCUUGGCCGUGACAUGGGACGAAUGCAUUUGUUAAAGAACACUUCGAUGGGAUACAGGUGUACUUUUCUGAACACCUUGAAUCACUUGGCUGCCCCGAGUAGCAAGUGGCCUCUUGAAUCCCCAUCAUAUUCACGCUGCCGUUUCUGAGUGUCAUUGCCCUUGUGAAAAUGAAGAGGCAGAGCUCACCCAAAGCAUAGCAUUUGCUCAAGGAAGCAUCUAAUCAUCAUCAUCAUCAUCAUCAUCAUCAUCAUCCGUGUAAUGAUGGGAAGACAACCCCUAAGAGGUACACGAAGCUUGCUAUGCGCCAGUCCAUCAUGUAUAUGGAUUCUUUCCAUCCUUUUAACAGCCUGGGAAAUUUGUAUUACCUUUAUUCCCAUUUUAGUCUCCUGAUUAAUGUCUCAACCAUCAUUAACGUGCUUAUACCACAUAUAAUUCACAUGAAGAAAACCUACGGGGAGUAGACACUUGGGAAAGGCAUGGAAAAUGCAAGGCUUUUCAUCC